CGGGUGAGUAACGCGUGGGUAACCUGCCUUGUACUGGGGGACAACAGUUAGAAAUGACUGCUAAUACCGCAUAAGCGCACAGUAUCGCAUGAUACAGUGUGAAAAACUCCGGUGGUACAAGAUGGACCCGCGUCUGAUUAGCUAGUUGGUAAGGUAGCGGCUUACCAAGGCGACGAUCAGUAGCCGACCUGAGAGGGUGACCGGCCACAUUGGGACUGAGACACGGCCCAA
rnacentral:rRNA from 1 species